CCGGACUGAGGCUGCCCGAGUGAGGCUCCCCAGGUUGCUCUGUCCACCGAUUCAUGAUUUUCUGCCGUUUCUUGGCAAAAAUGGCAACUAAUGGUGCUGUUCUGAAGAGACUGGAACAGAAGGGUGCAGAAGCAGAUCAAAUUAUUGACUAUUUAAAGCAGCAAGUUGCUCUUCUUAAGGAGAAAGCAAUUUUGCAGGCAACUUUGAGAGAAGAGAAGAAACUUCGAGUUGAAAAUGCUAAAUUAAAGAAAGAAAUUGAAGAAUUGAAACAAGAGCUAAUUCAGGCAGAAAUUCAAAAUGGAGUGAAACAAAUACCAUUUCCAUCUGGUACUCUGCUGCAAGCUAAUUCCACAGUUUCUGAAAAUGUGAUACAGUCUAGACCAAUAACAACUAUAACUUCUGGUGCCAAAGAACAGAUAGGAGGAGGAGCAGAAGAAAAGAAGAUGAAAGAGAAAACUGAAGUGAAAGGCGAGAAAAAGGAGAAAAAACAGCAGUCAGUAGCAGGAAGCGCUGACUCUAAGCCAUUAGAUGUUUCUUGUCUGGAUCUUCGAGUUGGUUGUAUCAUCACUGCCAGAAAACACCCUGAUGCAGAUUCUUUAUAUGUGGAAGAAGUAGAUGUUGGAGAAACAGCCCCAAGAACAGUCGUCAGUGGCCUGGUGAAUCAUGUUCCUCUUGAACAGAUGCAAAAUCGGAUGGUGAUUUUACUUUGUAACCUGAAACCUGCAAAGAUGAGGGGAGUAAUAUCUCAAGCAAUGGUAAUGUGUGCUAGUUCACCUGAGAAGGUUGAAAUCUUGGCACCUCCUAAUGGGUCUGUUCCUGGAGACAGAAUUGUUUUUGAUGCUUUUCCUGGAGAACCUGACAAGGAGGUGAAUCCUAAGAAGAAGAUUUGGGAGCAGAUCAAGCCUGAUCUCUUUACUAAUGAUGAGUGUGUAGCUACAUACAAAGGAGCUCCCUUUCAGGUGAAAGGGAAGGGAGUGUGUAGGGCUCAAACUAUGACCAACAGUGGAAUAAAAUAAAAUACUUCAUUUGCUGAACUACAUUGGAGAAAACUUUAAUAACAAUAAAAAGAAAUAUAUUUGUCACUUGUACCUAAAAAAAAAAAAAAAAA